CAGCGACGCGAACUUGAAUUGCAUGAACUUCCGAGCUUCCUUCUCCUCCUCCUUGGUGCGGCAAAGGACUUUAGGGACAGGUUGGGACUUUAGGUGUAUGGAUGCAUGGUUAUGGAUGGAUGUAGUAGUGUUUAGGGGAUGGGGAUGGUGCGGCAAGACUUAGAACUAGGGGGAAUGGUGUUUGGUGGGUGCGGCAAGAGUGUGGAGAAGGUUGGACGAAUUUCUGGAGUGAAUUGUGAAUUGUGGUGAGUGGUGAUCUGAUUUAGGGGUUAAUAGGAGUAUAUAUAGGCACUUAAAACCCUAGGGUAAUCAGAUAUGGACUUGGAUAACCCAAAUCCACAAGGAAAUAGGUCUAAACAAUCAGAUUUUGCAAAGGAAAAGGGAUAAGGGUGCGGCAGCAAUGGGAUAAGGUUUCUAGAAUGCCUUGCAAGGCAAGGAAUUAGGGUAUCUAGAAAGCCUAGGGUGCGGCACUAAAGGAUAGGGCAGAUUAGGGCUUCUAGAAACCCUCUAAUGCAAGGAAAACUCACGGCAAGGAUAGAUAAGGUUUCUAGAACAAGGAUGAGGUAUCCUAAAUGGAUAAGGUGCCCUAAAUGGAUAAGGAUUCCUCAUUGCACUUGGAAACUUUGCCUAUUAGGAUUAGGAAACCUUGUCUUUGUCAUUCCUUCUUCAUCUUGGACUCCUUUUCCUUCUUGGACUUGGAAAACUUCUUUGUUGCUUCACUUGAGACCAUUUGGAUUUUGACUUUCCUACAUCAAGUAGGAAACCUUGUUUGAGUAGGAAUCUUCAUCUUCAAGGAAUCCUAAUUCAACUAGGAAACCCAUUUUGACUAGGAAUCCUAAUUCAACUAGGAUUCCAUCUUCACUUAGGCGCUUUCCUACUUCGACUAGGAAACCUUGUUCAAGUAGGAAACAUCAUCUUCAAAUCUUCAAUUUCGUCCCUCCUCUUGGCUCCAAGCAUAUGACAUCCAUUCCAAGCUCUAAAUUGCUCCAAAAGGCUCCAAAAUGCAUCCUUUUGCAUACUUUGCCCUUAGAACCUGAAAACACAUAAAACUAGCUUAAAAGACUACUUUACUAAGGAAAAACACUAUAAAUGCACAAGAACAAGCUAAACUAAGGCGCAUAAAUAUGCUCCUAUCAACAUCUCAAUUUCUUUCUAAAUAUUUACAUUAAGUUUUAUCACAAUAAUUUUACAUCGAUGCCAGAAAAUCAUUGAUCGGAGUUCAAUCAAGACCAUAUGUUUUGAAAAUGACAUGAGCACCCCUCACCAAAUUCUUGGUCCUCUUUUCAAAGCGGUGGCGCCACUAACUUUCACUAGACUUCUCAAAGAACACUGCCUAUCAUCCCUGCUGCAAGGAUUUGAAUGGACGAAGUGGGAUUUGGCAAGGCCUCAAGGCUCUUGGCCCUCGACCACUACAACCUGGGCAGCCUGGGUUGUACGAAUGGAAAAACUCUUCGGCGAGCAAUGGAAAGCCCUAGGCAUUUAUGACAUCAUUCAUCUUUCAUCUAUGGAUGUCGUCCUGGACAAGGAGCUCCUCCUAGCAGCCUUAUGCUUCUGGUGUUCGACCACCAACACCAUAGUCCUUCCUCUCGGUCUCGUUGGUCCCACCAUUCUCGAUAUUACCGCUAGAGAUUCAAAGCCUCCUUUCGGAUUUGCAAUGGUUGAACUAGGCAAUCUUCCUUGCUCUCGAAACUGCCCCAUGAACUCGGCAAUUUGCCCUACUUGUUUCUCCAACUCGUCCACCUUUUUGUCCCUAUUUUGCAUUCCCUGCGCCAUAGAAGUUAGUAAAUUAAAAAUUUGGUGAUUAUCAAUAGACGAACCUGAUUUUUGGGUGGGUUGUGCUUGGGGUUGAGUUGGUGCAAAUGGCUUUUGAUAGAAACCCGGGGGUUGUUGCCUAAAUGUGCUUUGUUGUUGGCCUUGUUGGGGUUCUCGCCAUUUGAAGUUUGGAUGAUCACGCCAACCGGGAUUGUAGGUGUUAGAAAAGGGAUCAUUCCUUUGUUGGUAUUGCUGCCCAAAACCCACGGCAUUUAGGGUCUCCCACCCUCCGUUCUCAAUCAGUUGUGGGCACUUGUCCGUAGGGUGUCCUUGCAUGGAACAUACGCCACACGCACUUACAUUUUGAACUUUUGGCCCUUCCACAACUUGAGAAAGCAAAGUAGUAAGGUUAGCCAUUUGAUUUUGAAGUUCGUUUAUGGCACUUACCUCAUUCACUUGGUGUUGCCGUGUGGUGCCUCUUUGUCCAACACCUUCAUAUUGUUGAGCGUUCAACGCUCGAUUGGCAAUCAAAGUCUUUGCUGCCGUGGGGGUCUUAUCUACCAAUGCUCCUCCCGCCGAGGCAUCUAGCAUUUGUCGUUCGAUUGGUAGAAGUCCCUCGUAGAAGUAUUGCAGAAGAAGCUCCUCUUUCAUUUGAUGCUGUGGACAAGAAGCAACAAGAGAUUUAAAACGUUCAUAAUAUGUAGGAAAAGACUCACCUUCUUCUUGUUGAAUUCCACUUAUCCUUUUUCGUAGGAGAAUGACUCGAGAGGUUGGAAAAAACUUCUCUAAGAAAGCCCGUUUCAUGCUCUCCCAAGAUGUGACCGUUCCGGGAGCUAAUUCAUAUAACCAAUCCUUCGCCUUUUCCAUAAAGAGAAAAGGGGAAAGCCUUCAUCUUCAAUAUACUCCCGUCCACGUUUACCGGAGUCAUGCUUGAGCAAACGACUUCAAACUCCUUCAAGUGCUUGUUUGGAUCUUCCAUGGACAGCCCAUGGUACUUCGGAAUGUGAUGUAACAAGCUUGACUUUAAUUCGAACUCGGCAGUUUUGUCCUGAGCCGCCCUAGGGUACUGGAUACAUAGAGGUGCGGCAUUAUCCAAUCCCGAAGCGGAAAGCUCCCUUGAUCGUUUGGUUGUCCGCUGCCAUGUCUUCCACUUCCUCUUCAACUUCAGAAACGGACUCGGAACUUGCACUUGAUUCACUAGGUUCCGGGUUCUUCCUCUUUCGUCUCAACUCACGCUCAAAAUCGUCGUCAAAGUCUAAAAUAUGUUCUUGAAACCGGAUUAGAACUCCGAGUCAUAAACAAGUACCUAAAACAAGAAACAAAAAUAACAUAAGAAUCUGAUCUAAUAAGAAAAACGAAAAUAACAAUCCAAGGGAUUAGCAAAGUUGCUAAUCCCCGGCAACGGCGCCAAAAUUUGAUGUGAAAAUUAUGUUGACACUCAAAUUAACCCUCUUUUUAUCAAUUGUAGCAAAGUAUGUAAGUAGGGAUCGUUCUAAACCGGGGAUUAGGAGGGAUUGCAAAAUCACUUGAAAACUGACUCAAAUAUGUAAAAACAAGUUUAAAACACUAAACUAGACUCAAAGAAUGCAAAACUAAACUUUAAAACACCAAAACAAACCAAAAGACUCAAAACAGCACCAAAACACUCAAAACUGCCUUAAAAACACAAUCUGGGCAGUUUUGGACACUAAGCACCAAAUUGGACGAAUUUGGGUUUUAACUUGAAUCAAAACACUUAAAACACAAAGUAAAACACUUACUAACUAAUUUGACACUUUUAAAACAAAGGGGGAUUGGUUUUGGACGAAUUUAAAAAAAACAAAACAAACUUUGUAAAUUAGAAACAGAUUAUAAAAACGAAUUUGAUUUAAAUGGGUGAAUGGAAGGCUAGCUAAGGGGUUCAUCUCCACACAUGUUAUACUUGCAUACAAAACGAUUUCCAAUUUCUUUUCAAUAAACCAUGAAUUCUCAAUGCCCCAAGUUAAUUAGUUCCGCUUAAAUUAACCCUCAGAUUUUCCUAACGUUAUUGAAUUGGAUGAUUGCAUACGACAACCCAAAACAUUCCCCACGAGUCCCCUACAUGAUUGCAUAAUAGAGAUACAAGCAAGAAUCAUUAAGUUCUAUGAAAACCACAAGCAUUGACGAAGCACUUGUUACUAUGAUUGCAUGAAACUUAUGCCAAGAAUUUACUUAACGCGAUUGAGAUCAUCAACCUUUACUACUUGUGAAUAUAAUUCCAUAACGAUUAGGUGAAAUUUCCUUAUAUCCUAGCAUUCAAUUUAUGCAUGAUAAUUAAGCGUGCACUCUCAACCAACACACACAAAUCAAUGUAAUCCACAUAGAUAAGUAAAUUGAAUUCACAACUUAUGAAAACGCAAUUAGAAGUAAUCAAAUCAUAACGCAAGCAUAAACAUGUAUUUCGAAUCCCCCCCUAGCCAAGGGGGUUUAGUUCCUCAUAUGCACAAAACAAAGAGAAUUGAAUUUAAACAUUGAAAUCAAAGGAAAAGAAACACCUAGAAAUUCCAGCGACGCGAACUUGAAUUGCAUGAACUUCCGAGCUUCCUUCUCCUCCUCCUUGGUGCGGCAAAGGUCUAGGGACUAGUUUAGGACCUUAGGUGUAUGGAUGCAUGGUUAUGGAUGGAUGUAGUAGUGUUUAGGGGAAGGGAAUGGUGCGGCAAAGGUGUGGAGAGAGUUUGGACGAAUUUCUGGAGUGAAUUCUGAAUUGUGGUGAGUGGGUGAUCUGAUUUAGGGGUUAAUAGGAGUAUAUAUAGGCACUUAAAACCUAGGGUAAUCAGAUAUGGACUUGGAUAACCCAAAUCCACAAGGAAAUAGGUCUAACAAUCAGAUUUUGCAAGGGAAAAGGGGUCCUAGGUGCGGCUGGAUAGGGAUAAGGUGGAUAAGGCUUCUAGAUGGCCUUGCAAGGCAAGGAAAUCAGGUUUCUAGAAGGGAUAGGUGCGGCACUUUAAAGGAUAGGGCAGAUUAGGGCUUCUAGAAACCCUCUAAUGCAAGGAAAACUCACGGCAAAGGAUAAGGGUUUCUAGAACAAGGAUAAGGUAUCCUAAAUGGAUAAGGACUCCUCAUUGCAUUUGGAAACUUUGCCUAUUAGGAUUAGGAAACCUUGUCUUUGUCAUUUCCUUCUUCAUUCUGGAUUCCUUCUCCUUCUUGGACUUGGAAAUCUUCUUUGUAGCUGCAACUUGUUGCCAUUUGGAUUUAACUUUCCUACUUCAAGUAGGAAACCUUGUUUAAGUAGGAAUCUUCAUCUUCAAGGAAUCCUAAUUCAACUAGGAAACCCAUUUUGACUAGGAAUCCUAAUUCAACUAGGAUUCCAUCUUCACUUAGGCACUUUCCUACUUCGACUAGGAAACCUUGUUCAAGUAGGAAACAUCAUCUUCAAAUCUUCAAUUUCGUCCAUCCUCUUGACUCCAAGCAUAUGACAUCCAUUCCAAGCUCAACUUUGCUCCAAAAGGCUCCAAAAUGCAUUCUUUUGCAUACUUUGCCCUUAGAACCUGAAAACACAUAAAACUAGCUUAAAAGACUACUUUACUAAGCAAAAACACUAUAAAUGCACAAGAACAAGCUAAACUAAGGCGCAUAAAUAUGCUCCUAUCAGGGGGGAGCAUAAUUGACUCUUUGGCGCAGGGAUAUCUCGACGAUUUGAAUGACGAUGCGCUUGAAAUAGUCAUUACACAAGGCAUGGAACUCAAAACAAAGGGGGCUGAUUGCAUGCAUGCCCACGGCAUACAUGAGUUAUCCCAUGCCGUGCCCCCUAGUGAGGAAUUACUUGAAGUUGUGGCUGCCCUUGAGUCCUCACCUAAGCUUGAUGGUAAGUUUACUAACCGUGAGUCCAUUCCCAUUUCGACUAACAAAUUGCUUCCAUCUAUAAUUCAGGCACCUAUCCUUGAACUCAAGCCUUUGCCAAGCCAUCUGAAGUACAUUUUCUUGGGAGAAAAUGAAACACUACCUGCCAUCAUUUCCUCCUCCCUCACGGCACAAGAAGAGGAGAAGUUGCUUCGAGUUUUGAAGGAGUUCAAAUCUGCCCUAGGUUGGACAUUGGCCGAUAUUAAAGGUAUAAGCCCUACGACUUGUAUGCAUCACAUAUUUCUUGAGGAGGGGGCCAAACCAACUAGAGAGGCUUAACGCCGUCUUAACCCUCCGAUGAUGGAAGUAGUGAAAAAGGAGAUCAUAAAGCUUUUAGAUUGCGGGUUAUCUAUCCAAUCUCGGAUAGUAAGUGGGUUUCGCCCGUUCAAUGCGUGCCAAAGAAAUCCGGAGUGACGGUGGUAGCUAAUGCCGAGAAUGAGCUUGUUCCUCAACGUAUUCAAACCGGUUGGAGGGUGUGCAUUGACUAUAGGAAGCUAAACACCACCACGAGGAAGGACCACUUCCCAUUGCCAUUCAUUGACCAAAUGCUUGAGAGGUUAGCGGGUUAUGCUUUUUAUUGUUUUCUUGAUGGUUAUUCUGGUUAUAAUCAAAUUGUCAUUUCACCCGAGGACCAAGAAAAAACCACUUUUACAUGCCCGUUUGGUACCUUUGCAUAUCGUCGCAUGCCUUUUGGUUUAUGUAAUGGACCUGCUACAUUUCAAAGAUGCAUGGUGAGCAUAUUUUCUGAUCAGUAGAAAAGAUAAUUGAAGUGUUUUAUGGAUGAUUUUUAGCGUAUUUGGUGAUUUUUUUGAUAGUUGCUUGCAUAAUCUAAGUUUGAUCCUAAAACGUGUGUGUUGAAACUAACCUUGUACUUAAUUGGGAAAAGUGUCAUUUUAUGGUUAAACAAGGUAUCGUUUUAGGUCAUAUAAUCUCUGAAAAGGGUAUUGAGGUUGAUAAGUCGAAAAUAGAUCUUGUACGUCACUUACCCUCUCCGACUUCGGUUAGAGAGGUUCGUUCGUUUCUUGGCCAUGCAGGAUUUUAUCGUAGGUUUAUCAAAGAUUUCUCGAAGGUAGCACAACCUCUUUGCCGGCUCCUACAAAAAGAAGUGGCGUUUGAAUUCACCAAGGAGUGCACGGCAUCAUUCAACCAACUCAAGGAGUUGUUGACCACGGCACCCAUCAUUGUUCCACCGGAUUGGAGUCUACCGUUCGAGCUCAUGUGUGAUGCGUCCGACUAUGCUUUAGGAGCUGUUUUAGGACAAAGAAAGGACAAGAGGCCGCAUGUCAUUUACUACGCCUCACAGACGUUGAACGAUGCACAAUUGAACUACUCCACUACGGAAAAAGAACUUCUUGCCGUUGUCUUUGCUUUAGAUAAAUUUUGAUCAUAUCUAAUUGGAACUAAAGUAAUUGUUUUCAGUGAUCAUGCAGCUCUGAAGUACUUGCUCACCAAAAAGGAGGCCAAGCCACGGCUAAUUCGAUGGAUAUUGCUACUUCAAGAGUUCGACAUAGAGAUUCGGGACAAGAAGGGAGUGAGAACGUGGUGGCUGACCACCUAAGCCGAAUGGUGCAUAAUGAGGAGUCUUUGCCGAUUUUGGAGACAUUCCCCGAUGAACAAUUGCUGUCCAUUAAGGUUAGUGCACCUUGGUAUGCCGAUAUUGUUAAUUUUUUGGUGUCGAAAGGUAUUCCAAGUGAGUUCACUAGGCACCAACGUGAUAAACUUAGGCAUGAUGCACGGUUUUAUGUGUGGGAUGAUCCGUACUUAUGGAAAUUUUGCCCCGAUCAGAUUAUACGUCGUUGUGUGCACGAUUCUGAAUGUCAUUCCAUUUUGAGUUUUUGUCAUACAUAUGCAUGUGGAGGGCACUUUGGCACACAACGCACUGCCCUUAAGGUGUUACAAUGUGGAUUUUAUUGGCCUAGUAUUUUUAAAGAUGCUAAAACUUUUUGCUUAACAUGUGAUAAAUGCCAACGAAUGGGCGGUAUUAGUGCUAGGGACCAAAUGCCGCAGGUUUCUAUCCUAAAUGUUGAAAUUUUUGAUGUUUGGGGUAUUGAUUUUAUGGGUCCUUUUCCUUCUUCGUAUGGUUUUACAUAUAUUUUGCUUGCGGUUGAUUAUGUGUCGAAGUGGGUGGAAGCCAAGGCCACCCGGACUAAUGAUUCUAAAGUGGUUGCAGAUUUUAUUAGAACUAACAUUUUUGCAAGGUUCGGAAUGCCACGAGUGAUCAUUAGUGAUGGAGGGUCACACUUUUGCAAUCGGACCAUUGAAGCGUUGUUGAGGAAAUACAGUGUCACCCAUAAGGUUUCUACACCUUACCAUCCUCAAACUAAUGGGCAAGCCGAGGUUUCCAACCGUGAGAUCAAGCAAAUCUUAGAGAAGACCGUUGGGCCAAUGAGGAAGGAUUGGAGCUUACGGUUAGAUGAUGCACUUUGGGCGUAUCGUACGGCGUACAAAACCCCCAUUGGGAUGUCCCCCUUCUGACUUGUCUAUGGCAAGGCGUGCCAUCUUCCUGUUGAAUUGGAGCACAAAGCACUUUGGGCCAUCAAGAAGUUUAACAUGAACCUCGAGGAAGCAGGAAGUCAAAGGAGAUUGCAAUUGAAUGAGCUUGAUGAGAUACGGCACGAGGCGUACGAUAAUGCAAGCAUUUACAAGCAAAAGACCAAAGCGUUCCAUGACAACAUGAUCCGUGGGAAAUCAUUCUCACUUGGGCAGAAAGUGCUAUUGUUCAAUUCCCGUUUACGUUUGUUUCCCGGUAAGUUACGUUCUAAGUGGAUUGGACCGUUUGUUAUUACUAACAUAUCUUCUUAUGGUGCCAUCCAGAUUCAAAGUCUCAAAACAGGUCAUGAAUUCCAAGUGAACGGACACCGUUUGAAGCCAUAUUAUGAGAACUUUGUUGAACAAACCGUGGAUGAUAUUUCUUUGGGUGCCGUGGGCACAAAUGGAGAAUAAAUGGGCUUUUCGUCCGGCUGUACGACGUUAAAGAAAGCGCUACUUGGGAGGCAACCCAUGCAAUGCAACAAAGGAAGACCACGGAAUCACUCCAAUUCCAGAUUUGCGUUCCUAAACUCUUCUCUUUGUUAUUUAUUUCGAAUCUGCCUAUUUAGUUGUUUUAGUUGCUGUUUGGGUGUUUCUUUUUGUUUAGUGUGAUUUUAUGCUUGAAACAUUGAGGACAAUGUUUGAUUUAAGUGUGGGGGGGUAACUAAGUGUUUUAGAUGCAAAUUCGUGGGAUUUUAUCACCCUAAACUUGAAGACUUGUUCCUUGCUGUUUUUAAGUGUUUUUGAGCAGUUUUGAUGUGUUUUAGUGUGUUUUGAAGUAAAAAUCCGAAAAUUACAUGAUCUCAUUAUUCCUUGCUUGGUUGCUACUUAGAAGGCGUUUCAUCAUUUAGUUCCAAAUGCUAGAACUCAUGCCCAUUUCAUUCAAAGCAUGUUAUUGAUUUGCAUAACACAUAUUCAAGAUGAAGUUGUGUAGUGACCACCACCUUAGCAAAAAGCCAUGAAUCCCCUAUGUCAUUAUGUUUUGUAGGUUUUAACCCCGUUGAGCCUUGUUUAGCCUAUGUUGUUGUUAACCCACAUUAUCCUCACCUAGCCUAGUUUAGGACCAUCCUGAUAGGAGCAUAUUUAUGCGACUUAGUUGGCUUGUUCUUAAGCAUUUAUGUUGUUUUUCUGUAGUUAUUUUAGUGUUUAAAGUCAUUUUUGUGCAAUUUCAGGUUUAGAGACGAAGUAUGCAAAAAAGUGUAAAAUGGAGCAUUUUAGAGCAAAAUUGAGCUAGAAUGGAGUGUAUGCUAAUGGAGCACAAGGAAUGGACGAGUUUGAAGGUCAAAGGAGCUUAAGAAAUGAAGAAAUGAAAGUGAAGAACAAAGAAUUCAGAUUUGGAAACCAAAGUUUCUAAAGUUGGAAGUUUCUAUUCUUGGAGGUUUCCAUUUUCGAGAGUUUCUAUUCUUGGUUUUGGGCUUUUAGAUGACCUAAACCCUAAUUCCUUGUGGACCCUAACCCUAGCCGCACCUAGGCCUCUAGAAUAUCUGAUUUCCUUGCCUUGCAAGGCAUUCUAGAAGGCCCAUCUCUAAACCCUAACCCUAGCCGCACCUUAGGCCUUAUUCCCACUAAAAAUCUGAUUGUUUUAACCUAAUUUCUGGUGGAUUUGGGCUUCUAGAAACCCUAAUCUGAUUACCCUAGGGUUUUGGAUGCCUAUAUAUACUCAUUAUAACCCCUAGAUCAGAUCACGACCUCUCAUACACAAUCAUUCACGCCAGAAAUCUGCCCUUGCAUUCUGCCGCACCUUCCCAUCACCAAAAUUCUGCCCAAAACUCAUCCCUAGCCGUACCCCCAUCAACCCUAAACCUUUCCCUACCCUUCCCCAUCCAUUCUACACCCUAAAUACUACCCAAAACCUGUUCUAAACUUCUCUGCCGCAGCAAGGAGGAAAGGGAAAUCAUUGAUGAUCUUGCUGCCAAGUUGGAGCCUUCUAGGUGUUUUCUUUCUUUGGGUUUUAAUUUCUAAAUUUAUGUAUCUUUGCUUUGCGAGUAUGAGGAACUAAACCCCCCUUGGCUAGGGGGGAUUCGAAACCAUGUUAUGCUUGCUAUAUGAUUUGAUUACUUCUAAUUGCGUUUCAUAAGUUGUGAUUUCAAUUUGCUUAUCUAUGUGAAUUAAAACUUAUUCUUGUAUGUUGAUUGAGGGUCGACACUUAGUUUGCAUGCAUGAAUUUGAUGCUAGGAUAUAAGGGAAUUUCACCUAAUCGUUAUGAACUUAUAUUCACAAGUAGUAAAGGUUGUUGAUCACAAUCGUGUUAAGUAAAUUCUUGGCAUAAGUUUCAUGCAAUUCAUAGUUACGAGUGCCUCGUCAAUGCUUAUGGUUUUCAUAGAACUUAAUGAUUCUUGCUUGUAUCUCUAUUAUGCAAUCAUGUAGGGAACUUGUAGGGAAUGUUUUGGGUUGUCGUAUGCAAUCAUCCAAUCCAAUAACUUGAGUCAAGUUAAAACCUAUUUUCGUCAAAAUCUUGUUUAGAGUUCAAAACUGCCCAGAAAGUGGUUUUAAGGCAGUUUUGAGUGUUUUGGUGCUGUUUUGAGUCUUUUGGUUUGUUUUGAUGUUUUAAAGUUUAGUUUUGCAUUCAUUGAAUUUAUUUUAGUGUUUUAAACUUGUUUUUACGUUUUUGAGUCAAUUCCAAGUGAUUUUGCAAUCCCUCCUAAUCCCCGGUCUAGAACGAUCCCUACUUACAUACAUUGCUACAAUUGAUAAAAAGAGGGUUUAAUUUGAGUGCUAGUUAAUAUCACAUCACAUCCAUACCCUUGUUCUUAAAGCAUAGUAAAGCAUGAUUCGAAUUGAAUUCCAUUUGAUCUAUGUUGGCAGAAACCAAGUGUGGGGGAAGUAUUUUUCAUGAGGAAUUGUGUGCCAUAGGCACGUGUGGAAAGAAAAGAAAAGAAAAAAUUCCGUGGAAAAAGAAAAAAUGAAGAAAAAAGUGUGAAAAGUAUGAAAAAAGAGUUGAAAAGAUGUGAAAAAGAGUUUCAAAGUAUUGUUUGUUGAAGUAAGGGUCCAAAGCAAUGAAUUUGGCCCUAAAAAGUUAUCUAAAUCUUUCCCUUGUGUUUUAAAGUUAAUUUCUGCAAUCUAAGUGAAUUCUAAGCCUCAAUUUCACUACUUUGCUUACUAAUGCUUGAAGAACAUUUGUUUUCCCUAUCCUUUCUUUGUUAACUGAUGUGAAAAUUAUGUUGACACUCAAAUUAACCCUCUUUUUAUCAAUUGUAGCAAAGUAUGUAAGUAGGGAUCGUUCUAAACCGGGGAUUAGGAGGGAUUGCAAAAUCACUUGAAAACUGACUCAAAUAUGUAAAAACAAGUUUAAAACACUAAACUAGACUCAAAGAAUGCAAAACUAAACUUUAAAACACCAAAACAAACCAAAAAGACUCAAAAACAGCACCAAAACACUCAAAACUGCCUUAAAAACACAAUCUGGGCAGUUUUGGACACUAAGCACCAAAUUGGACGAAUUUGGGUUUUAACUUGAAUCAAAACACUUAAAAACACAAAGUAAAACACUUACUAACUAAUUUGACACUUUAAAAACAAAGGGGGAUUGGUUUUGGACGAAUUUAAAAACAAACAAACUUUGUAAAUUAGAACAGAUUGUAAAAACGAAUUUGAUUUAAAUGGGUGAAUGGAAGGCUAGCUAAGGGGUUCAUCUCCACACAUGUUAUACUUGCAUACAAAACGAUUUCCAAUUGCUUUUCAAUAAACCAUGAAUUCUCAAUGCCCCAAGUUAAUUAGGUCCGCUUAAAUUAACCCUCAGAUUUUCCUAACGUUAUUGAAUUGGAUGAUUGCAUACGACAACCCAAACAUUCCCCACAAGUCCCCUACAUGAUUGCAUAAUAGAGAUACAAGCAAGAAUCAUUAAGUUCUAUGAAAACCAUAAGCAUUGACGAAGCACUUGUUACUAUGAUUGCAUGAAACUUAUGCCAAGAAUUUACUUAACGCGAUUGAGAUCAUCAACCUUUACUACUUGUGAAUAUAAUUCCAUAACGAUUAGGUGAAAUUUCCUUAUAUCCUAGCAUUCAAUUUAUGCAUGAUAAUUAAGCGUGCACUCUCAACCAACAUACACAAAUCAAUGUAAUCCACAUAGAUAAGUAAAUUGAAUUCACAACUUAUGAAACGCAAUUAGAAGUAAUCAAAUCAUAACGUAAGCAUAAACAUGUAUUUCGAAUCCCCCCCUAGCCAAGGGGGGGUUUAGUUCCUCAUACGCACAAAACAAAGAGAAUUGAAUUUAAACAUUGAAAUCAAAGGAAAAGAAACACCUAGAAAUUCCAGCGACGCGAACUUGAAUUGCAUGAACUUCCGAGCUUCCUUCUCCUCCUCCUUGGUGCGGCAAGGGUCUAGGGACAGGUUUAGGACCUUAGGUGUAUGGAUGCAUGGUUAUGGAGGGAUGUAGUAGUGUUUAGGGGAAGGGAAUGGUGCGGCAAAGAUGUGGAGAGAGUUUGGACGAAUUUCUGGAGUGAAUUCUGAAUUGUGGUGAGUGGUGAUCUGAUUUAGGGGUUAAUAGGAGUAUAUAUAGGCACUUAAAACCCUAAGGUAAUCAGAUAUGGACUUGGAUAACCCAAAUCCACAAGGAAAUAGGUCUAACAAUCAGAUUUUGCAAGGGAAAAGGGGUCCUAGGUGCGGCUGGAUAGGGAUAAGGUGGAUAAGGCUUCUAGAAGGGAUAGGUGCGGCACUUAAAGGAUAGGGCAGAUUAGGACUUCUAGAAACCCUCUAAUGCAAGGAAAACUCACGGCAAGGAUGGAUAAGGUUUCUAGAACAAGGAUAAGGUAUCCUAAAUGGAUAAGGACUCCUCAUUGCAUUUGGAAACUUUGCCUAUUAGGAUUAGGAAACCUUGUCUUUGUCAUUCCUUCUUCAUUCUGGAUUCCUUCUACUUCUUGGACUUGGAAAUCUUCUUUGUAGCUGCAACUUGAUGCCAUUUGGAUUUAACUUUCCUACUUCAAGUAGGAAACCUUGUUUGAGUAGGAAUCUUCAUCUUCAAGGAAUCCUAAUUCAACUUGGAAACCCAUUUUGACUAGGAAUCCUAAUUCAACUAGGAUUCCAUCUUCACUUAGGCACUUUCCUACUUCGACUAGGGAACCUUGUUCAAGUAGGAAACAUCAUCAUCAAAUCUUCAAUUUCGUCCAUCCUCUUGGCUCCAACCAUAUGACAUCCAUUCCAAGCUCAACUUUGCUCCAAAAGGCUCCAAAAUGCAUUCUUUUGCAUACUUUGCCCUUAGAACCUGAAAACACAUAAAACUAGCUUAAAAGACUACUUUACUAAGCAAAAACACUAUAAAUGCACAAGAACAAGCUAAACUAAGGCGCAUAAAUAUGCUCCUAUCAUUAACCAAUACCCCAAGCCCUGUUACAACCCUUAACUUCUAUCUUGAGUGUUAUGUGUUUCAAUUUGUGGAGUUUGAAUUUGGGAUGAGCAUAUGGUGUCACUGGUUCUCGCAUCUAAGUAGUAGUAUCCCAUUCAUGAGAUCAUAUCUAAACAUGCUUCUUAACUCUAGAAAUUGCGUUCUUUGUGAUACAUAUAUGUGAGCAUUCGUUUCAUUUCUACAUCAAUCUUCUCACAUAUGACUAGUGUAGGGUGUGGAGUUAGAAAAUCUGAGUGAAAAU
rnacentral:lncRNA from 1 species